CCUACGGGUGGCUGCAGUCGAGAAUCUUCGGCAAUGGGCGCAAGCCUGACCGAGCGACGCCGCGUGCGGGAUGAAGGCCUUCGGGUUGUAAACCGCUGUCAGAGGGGAUGAAGUAUACGGGAGUUAUCUCCUGUAUUUGACAGAGCCUCAGAGGAAGCACGGGCUAAGUUCGUGCCAGCAGCCGCGGUAAUACGAACUGUGCGAACGUUAUUCGGAAUCACUGGGCUUAAAGGGUGCGUAGGCGGCUUCCUAAGUCAGGUGUGAAAUCUUCCGGC
rnacentral:rRNA from 1 species